AUAGCCCGAGUUGAGAGACUGAUCGGCCACAUUGGGACUGAGACACGGCCCAAAAACUCCUACGGGAGGCAGCAGUAGGGAAUCUUCCACAAUGGACGCAAGUCUGAUGGAGCAACGCCGCGUGAGUGAAGAAGGGUUUCGGCUCGUAAAGCUCUGUUGUUGGUGAAGAAGGACAGGGGUAGUAACUGACCUUUGUUUGACGGUAAUCAAUUAGAAAGUCACGGCUAACUACGUGCCAGCAGCCGCGGUAAU
rnacentral:rRNA from 1 species